GGACUCAAACUCCCUCUGUGCAAGUCCUGGCUGUGUUUCUUGCUACCGGCGUAAUGGUGCUAUUUAAGCAGCAGUGCAUGUCUCCUCACAUUUGAAAAUAUUGAUUGGGUCUUGAAGACAGAAUAACAAGCGCCAGAACUCAAGCAUUUUGCCAGGAGUGGUGCUGCCUCAUCAGUACUUCAGAUCCAGGCAGGGAAACUGUCAGCAGAACUGCUCCAAAGUCUGCUUUGUGAAAUGCACAUAAGCGGUCUCCCAGGACCCACUUUCCAUCCUUCUCCUUUCUGAGGAGGAGGUGGUUAGAAAAAAAAGAAGAAGACAACAAAAGAGUAGAUGAGAGAGAUGUGGCAAAAGAAGAGGCAGAAGAGAAGAGGCAAGAGAAGGAUUCUCCCACCCAUUGCUGUCUUUAGAGAUGCAGGCUAUGAGCCAAAAAGCACAGAUAGCUCCGGAAGCUGAGGACAAGCCACACUGCCCACACUCCCGCAACUGCCCAGAACUGAAUUUUGCCAAUUACCUGCAUAAAUCAGAAAAUGGAUGCUCACUAGAGUCUCCAGAAGGGAGCCUGGCUUGCUGACACCUAGAUUUUUGUCUUGUGAGACUGAUCAGAGGAAUUAUCCCAGCACACUUGACUUCUGAAAUUGUGAUAUAUCUAUGCCUGCAGAAACCCAU
rnacentral:lncRNA from 10 species